UGAGCGUGAGCUGGCGGGGCGCGCCCGCCGGGGGCCGGUCCUUCGCUCCCGGUCACCGAGGAGCCGUCUGAGGUCCCGCCUUUCCGCGGCGUCCUGGCCCUCCGCGUUCUCUCAGGAGUCUUGAGUAUGAUGAAGUUCUGUGGGUUACCUUGUUACCUUGUUCUAUAGUCUUGACAUGCUAGCUGGAUAUAGAAAGGAGCCACUGAAUAAGGAAAAUACUUCAUGGCAAAGGAGGUGGCAUAAUGGGCAUUUGACCAAGGGAUCCUAGUGGUCCUACCAGCUAUUGCAGCAUCCGAAGCAGUUGGCCCCAACAGAGCAUUGUCUAAUGACCAUCAGCAGCGUUCCUCCACAAAAGAACAAAACUCCAACCGGAUUGACAUACUAUUGUUCAGGAUACUUAUGUGCAGAGGGACAAGAGCUUGUACACUCUCAUAGCCAGAAUACAGAAGUUUGGGACCCAAGAAAUAAAAAUAGUAUUGAUUCUUCUUGACAGUGCCUCCCAGUAACUCAAUGGCACAAGUUUUGCUUCCUGUUUCUCUGCAGGAUUAGAAGUUCUAGGCUCCCUGGAAGAACUUUUCUACCAAGAAGUGAAAUAGGGAGGAGCCAUACAAACUGAAACCAUGAUUACAGCCUGGUCAUUCAGGUGCCCUGUGUUAGUGGGCAGGCUGGUAAAGAAGACACCCAAAUUUUUCCUUUAAACAUUGUGAUUAGAGCAACUUCCAGCUGAGAAGCUGUGACUGAGCAAGUGAUCAUUUCUUCUUAGAGGAACAAAAGGAACAGGAGCAUCGUCCUGCUUGGCCAGCUGCUCCUCCAUCUCCAUGGUCCACUUACCCUAGUGAACUUCUCCCACAAGUGGGCCUCUUCUCCCUCCCCUGCCUUCCCUCCAUCACCAUUGGCAGACCUUCCCCAACAGCCACUACAGGGAAUUUCCCUCAGAGCAGUGGCCCAUCAGCGAGUGCCAUCCCUGGGACUGCCAUUGGUGUCCCAACUGUGGACAAGGAAAUAGUGCUCCCAGAGCAAUACAUAAUCUCCUAAGAACGAUCCAGCCACCAUAAAGAAACAGCUGCCUAUCCAAACAAAUCACAGUUCCAACAGCUGGGUUGUUUGUUUCAGCCACCCCCAGCUUCCAGAAUCAAUUAUCUCCAUGAGUGAACUUCACACAGAAGUGGAUCUGGAGACCUCAAAGGGAAGUCCUUGACUCGUGGAAACACAGCAUCAUCCAAAACAGGGCUCAGAGGGAAGAGGAGUACAGAAGAACUACGGCAACAAGUCAAAUCCUAAUUUCAGAGCACUUCUACCCCUCUUUGUCUUCUGUUCUUUCCGCCACUGUCCACCUCUUCCACCAUGGCCUCUGAUCCUCGGAGGCUGUGACAGACAGCUCUCAAUACCGAACACUCCACUGUCACUUCUUCUAAGUAUUUUAAUAAAUUUUGAGUCUCCCCAGUAGUGACUGCCAUCUGAAAAGAGAGACUUCAUAAUCAAAAGUGAGAGGAGCAUUUUCCUGCAGGCACAAAGUGGCCAUUGCAUUCAUGACUUCACGGUGGCUGAUGCUGUCUAUCCAAGGCCUGUAUAAUGAGUGCAAAAAAAAAAAAAAAAAAAGGAGAUAAUUUCAAAAUAUAAAAGGGACUAAUUGAAGGAGUUCAAUGGAGGGGGACAAAAGAAGGUAGUGGGAUGGGAUUAUGUUUAAGGA